GCUUAACACAUGCAAGUCGAGCGGUAAGGCCCUUCGGGGUACACGAGCGGCGAACGGGUGAGUAACACGUGGGUGAUCUGCCUCGUACUUCGGGAUAAGCCUGGGAAACUGGGUCUAAUACCGGAUAUGACCACAGGAUGCAUGUCUUGUGGUGGAAAGAUUUAUCGGUACGAGAUGGGCCCGCGGCCUAUCAGCUUGUUGGUGGGGUAAUGGCCUACCAAGGCGACGACGGGUAGCCGGCCUGAGAGGGCGACCGGCCACACUGGGACUGAGACACGGCCCAGACUCCUACGGGAGGCAGCAGUGGGGAAUAUUGCACAAUGGGCGAAAGCCUGAUGCAGCGACGCCGCGUGAGGGAUGACGGCCUUCGGGUUGUAAACCUCUUUCGACAGGGACGAAGCGCAAGUGACGGUACCUGUAGAAGAAGCACCGGCCAACUACGUGCCAGCAGCCGCGGUAAUACGUAGGGUGCGAGCGUUGUCCGGAAUUACUGGGCGUAAAGAGCUUGUAGGCGGUUCGUCGCGUCGUUCGUGAAAACUUGGGGCUCAACCCCAAGCUUGCGGGCGAUACGGGCGGACUAGAGUACUUCAGGGGAGACUGGAAUUC
rnacentral:rRNA from 1 species